rnacentral:rRNA from 1 species
UUGUUAUGAGAGUAUACAUGAAAUUAAAGUGGAAGUUACCUUUUGCAUCAUGAGAUAAUGAUUAAGAGUUAGUAAUAAAUUCAUCGAAACCUUAGGAUAUAACUUUAUUUUCUAUCCUGGGUAAGGAUAGGUUAAAAAUGAAGCUAGGUUUGUGAUAAAUAAAUCGUCUAAGGGUAUAACUAAUUGUCGGGCUAAUAAAUAUGUUAAUCGUGUAGGCUUGGAUGUUUAUACGAAGGUUGUAACAUUAGGUUGUAGUUUAAUUAAUGGGGUUUAAAGGUAUCCAAUUGUUUGAAGUGUUAAAACUCAAGUUACUGUUGUAUAUGUUCUAGUUAAAACCCGACAUAAAAUAACUAAAUAUUAUUGUAUAAUGUUAUUAUAAGUAGUUUAAUUAGAGUAAAGUGUCUCGAUUUAGUCUGAAAUGUUUAUUAAAAACAUUGCCAUAAAUAUUUGUUUAUGGUAGGACCUGCUCAAUGUUUAAUAAAUAGCCGCAGUAUCUUGACUGUGCUAAGGUAGCAUAAUUAAUUGUUCUUUAAAUAAGAAAUUGUUUGAAUGGUUGUUUUAGGCUAUAAAUUACUAUAUUCUAAAUAUUGAAAUUAGUUAGUGUUUGCAGAACAGCACUAUAAUUUAUAAGACGGAAAGACCCCGAGAGUUUGAUUAAAUUUUAUUUGGGGCAAAACCCACAAUUUAGUGGGAAUAUGAACCUGUUUAAGUUGGUUUAAUGGUUAAAUUACCUCGGGGAUAACAGGGUUAGAAGUAAAGAGAGUUCCUAUCGAUUUACUUAGUUGCUACCUCGAUGUUGACUUGGAAGAGCUAUUUGGUGCAGCAGCCAAAAAAGCAGGCCUGUUCGGCCUUUAAAUUUCUUCAUGAGUUGAGUUAAGACCGGUGUGAGCCAGGUCGGUUCUUAUCUAUAUGUGUACUAUGCUAGUACGAAAGGAUUGUAUAGUAUUUAAGUU